UACAGAGGGGGCAAGCGUUAUUCGGAAUUAUUGGGCGUAAAGGGCGCGUAGGUGGCUUCUUAAGCGUGCGGUGAAAGCCUGGGGCUCAACCCCGGGUCGGCCGUGCGAACUGGGGGGCUGGAGCACUGUAGAGGCAGGCGGAAUUCCGGGUGUAGCGGUGGAAUGCGUAGAGAUCCGGAAGAACACCGGUGGCGAAGGCGGCCAACUGGACAGAUACUGACGCUGAGACUCGAAAGCGUGGGGAGCAAACAGG
rnacentral:rRNA from 1 species